CAAUGACGACGACGACGACGCGACAACAGCAGCAACGACACGAAGUAUUGAUAACACAUCAUAAUAAACACUAUAAAAGAGUUUAUUUUUUUGGAGAAAAAAUGUGACGACGACAACGAGAGACGGUUAGUAAUUGGAAAAAUGUCUUCAAAGCAGGAGCUCUUUUGCGCAUCACUCGGAUUAUUUCUUAUAAUUUUAUUCGCACACACGAUCGCACAUACAAAUGCAUCGCAAGCGAUAUUGCAGGCGAGAAAUCAUCCAACGAACAAAGAAUUGUGCGUUUUCGAAGACGAAACCUACAAAAUUGGAAAAUCUCCCAUAAAAGGAGAAUGCGGCAUAAUUGAGUGUUCAGAGAGCUGCUUCUGUUAUUUCACUGGAUGUGGAGCAGUUGGUGUGAGGCCUCCGUGCUACACAAUUGAGGAAAAGGAAAAACCAUAUCCAGAUUGUUGUCCACAACCAGUAUGCCCAUCGGAAAAUGCACUGCGAUAAACACACAAAAAUAGUAUUAAGGUGUUAAAUUAAGCAAAAAAAAUGUCAUAAAAAAUUAGUGGCGCCACGGCGCUUUAUAAGCAAAAAAUAUAAAAGUAAACAAAUAUAUCAAGGAGGAAUUUUAAAUGUUAUUAUUUAAAUAAAAGAAAAAAAUGUUAAAAACACAAAAAUAAUUUUAUAGUGAAGAAAAUAAACAAACAAACAAAAACAAAGAAGAAGAAGAGGAACAAAGUCGAUAAUUAUCGUUAUAUUUUUAGAACAAACCACUGUCGAUGACGUAUUUUCCGUAUGGGGAAUUUUUUGGAAGUGCCAAAAGUCAAUAAAUUUUUUUGAAUUUUUAAUUUUUUUGUUGCAAAAAGAGCAAUUUAUUGCAUGAAAUUUUUCGUAUAAAUUAGAUCUGGUCCAAAAUUUGCACAUUAGUUCAUUAGCGAAAUGCGUCUCAUCAACAAGAAUUUUAUUAUUUUUGCCAUUCUGAUCUGGUUGGAAGCGGUUUUGGGUGCUAAAAAGGCAUCUGACGUGACAGUGGUGCCAGUUUUUGCAGAAAAAAGUGCCACACGACCGAACGAGUGUCAAUCGGGUGACGUAUUCUUCAAAAUUGGCAAAGAACAGUUAAAAACCGGAUGUGGCAUUGUUCAUUGCAAAGAAGAUUGUAAAUGUGGCAUUUUUGGAUGUCCAAGAACGAGUCUCAGGAAAGGGUGCGAAUAUGUAGUGAGCAAAACGAAGAAAUUCUAUCCGGAAUGUUGUCCUAGGCCAUCGUGUUAACAAGAGAUGAUGUCGAUGUUAAUUAAUGUAAAUAACAUAAUUUAAGAUUCGAAUAAAA